rnacentral:rRNA from 1 species
AACGAACGCUGGCGGCAUGCCUAACACAUGCAAGUCGAACGAAACCACCGGGUCUAGUGGCGCACGGGUGCGUAACGCGUGGGAACAUGCACUUAGGUUCGGAAUAACUCUACGAAAGGGGUGCUAAUGCCGGAUCAUGUCUUCGGACCAAGGAUUUAUCGCCCUUGGAUGGGCCCGCGUUGCAUUCGCUAUUUGGUAGGGUAAUAGCCUACCAAGGCGACGAUCCAUAGCUGGUAUGAGAGGAUGAUCAGCCACACUGGGAGUGAGACCCGGCCCAGACUCCUACGGGAGGCAGCAGUGGGGAAUAGAGGACAAUGGGCGAAAGGCUGAUCGAGCAAUGCCGGGUGAGUGAUGAAGGCCUUAGGGUUGUAAUGCUCUUUUACCCGGGAAGAUAAUGACAGUACCGGGAGAAUAAGCUCCGGCUAACUCCGUG